AUGAUCCAUGUGUGGAGUGGCCUGGUUGCGACAAGGACUGAAAGGAAGCUUGGAGCUGGGGAGCCUUCAGCUGAAAGUCUCUUCUCUUACUCUCUCCUAGAGCAGAGUGGAUUGGGCCCUGUCUCUGUCUCUCUCUCUCCCUCCCUCCCUUCCAGCCCAACUCCAUCAUCCCUUGUUCUGCGAAAGCAGCGAGCUCCGUCCCCACCACAGUGCUCUGGAUGCUGUCGGAAGGCUCCCUGCUCGAUCUCAGAGCACUUUACAAAGGAGGUGAAUGGGGGACUCUGAAGCACAGAGAGGAAAUGUGACUUGCCCAAGGUCACCCAGCAGUCAGCUGCUGAACUCCAGCUCAGAGAGGCAGAAGAAAAGUCGACGGGGGAACUGCAUCCGUCGAUCGAGCGCCGUGAGGACGCGAAGUAAGUAAUUUUAAUUCAAUCUAAGAUACAUUGAAUUCAGCUACGCUAUUCUCAUAGCUGAAGUUGCGUAUCUUAGAUCGAUCUCCCCCCUAGUGUAGACCAGGCCUAAGGCACCUUUCUACCACUAUAACUGCCCACAGUAGAGCUUGUGUUGUAUAUCUGUCAGUUAACCUCCCCCUCCCUCAGCUGACAGUCCUACUGGAACCAACUCUGAAGCCAACAAAGAAAAGGUGCUUUGGCUUUUGAGGAGUGCAAUCUGAUCUCUUUACUCAGCUAGGCAGUAACGAGAAAUAGCUUCUCUCAAAUGAUUAAUAGUGAUUAAUAAAGUCAGUGCCCUUCUAGGUACUAUUUCCUAG
rnacentral:lncRNA from 1 species